GACGAACGCUGGCGGCGUGCUUAACACAUGCGAGUCGAACGGAGCACCCUUGAUUGAGGUUUCGGCCAAAUGAUAGGAAUGCUUAGUGGCGGACUGGUGAGUAACGCGUGAGGAACCUGCCUUUCAGAGGGGGACAACAGGUGGAAACGACUGCUAAUAACGCAUGACGCAUUUUGCUCGCAUGGUCGAAAUGCCAAAGAUUUAUCGCUGAAAGGUGGCCUCGCGUCUGAUUAGCUAGUUGGUGAGGGAACGGCCCACCAAGGCGACGAUCAGUAGACGGACCGAGAGGUUGACCGGCCACAUUGGGACUGAGAUACGGCCCAGACUCCUACGGGAGGCAGCAGUGGGGAAUAUUGGGCAAUGGGCGCAAGCCUGACCCAGCAACGCCGCGUGAAGGAAGAAGGCUUUCGGGUUGUAAACUUCUUUUAAGUGGGAAGAGUAGAAGACGGUACCACUUGAAUAAGCCACGGCUAACUACGUGCCAGCAGCCGCGGUAA
rnacentral:rRNA from 1 species